AUCCUCCCAACCCACAUAUUCAGAUUUUGUUUUCCGUGUAAGUUUUAGAGGGAAGCCGGUGUGCAAAGCUGCCUGAUUUGAAUGGAGCUCAGAGAACUGCUCUUACUUAAGCUCUGUGUAUUUCUUUGUUUAACAAGAAGGGCAUUCACUGACCAAGAGAGAUGAAUAGACCACAGUGAAGAAAAUUCCAACCGGUUUAGCUAUUUAUCAAACCCCAACUCUGCAGUUACCUCUCUAACAAGUACUUCAAACCAAGUCCUCUUCUCUGCAACAUGAAACUAUUUUAAACUGUUGUACAAGAAGUUUAAUUUCCUCCCACCACCUCCAACAAGGUUCUUACCUCCUCGUUCUUACAGCCCAGGACAGAAUUGUUUCCAGAUUGUAUACUGCUUUAAAUCAUAGUUUCCCGUGACCUGGAAUGCUGUAAACAAAGAACAGGCAAGAGAUAAACCAACAAUUAAAAAGUAUUGAAGUUAUAGAUAAUUAAUUUCAAGUGAAAGGAAGGAAAAGGACUGUUUAGCUACUUUAAAAGAUACAAUAUUAGCAAAAUCAACUUUUUAUUUUGCUUAGAGAACAGCAAAAACAUUAGUAAAAGGAAAUGGAUAUCAAUACCAAUAAUGAUGCUGUUUGCAACAGUAUGGAUGAAAUUGAAAGAUAAUUUUGUAAUAAGUGACCUCUGUUUUCUUUUAAUAGAAUUCUUAUCAGAAACAUGUAUUUUUAUGUCUGGGAAAUCAUUGCUUAGCAUCAUUUAGUCAAAUAAAGUUUUGAUAUACCAUCAA